CUCCUGCACCUGAGUGGGCUCUCUGUGGGCACUCUAACUUCCUCCCACAGGCAUGACAUGCUUGUUAGUUACCAGGCCUGGGUCUGGGGGGACUUGGUCAUGGAGGAGGGGGUUUCCCCUCACUACCACUGGAUGCUGCUGCCCCUCCCUGGGAUGCGGGUACUUGCUGAUUUCAGGGAAUCCUGCAGGAAAGCCUGAAGAAUACCUUUCUCCAAGUGUGCCUGACCCACUCUCACCCCACAUGUCAUCACUACUCACCUGCCCUAAAGCUUUCAGCAUUGGAGCUCUGCCCUGAUAGAUUACUUACCUAAGGAAGCUCAUUUGAACUUUGCUCCCACAUUAAUCAUUCUUGAGAAAAAGAAAAAUAGCUCUGUUUCCUGUUUAGUAACCUACCUAAAGACACUUACCUGAAGACUGCUGCUGCCUGUGAACUUUAGGGAUUUGCCUAAAAACACUAAUCAAAGUUGUUAACUGGUUAACUUGUGACAGUAUCCUGCAUUUGGGUCCUUCAGUGAAGCCUUGGCAGAAUGCAGAGACUUUGAAAAGAUCAAUACAAACCUCAUGCCUUCAUGGUUAAUGUAGCUUGUUAGCUUAGUUACUGUGUCAGUGCAGUCUAUUUACGACACUAACAGCCAUCUAAUACUACGCUAUAUGCACUGUGUGUUUGACUCUGUUGUAAGUGUGUGCCUUGCCUGAACAUUGUUAAAUGAAAUAUCCCCUGGCCUG